rnacentral:ncRNA from 1 species
GAGAAUGUGAAGAGAAAAGCACUGAGGUCGAAACAAGGCAAGACUUCAAGUGCUUUUCUUG